UUCUUCGGGGCGGGGCGUAAUUCCCCACCGGCGGUGUAUUUCCUUUUGGAAAAAGAAGUCCGCGACCCGCAGCAAUGCGGCUGAACCGGUGUGAUUCCGGUACCGACAGUUACAGUCUGGAUGAGAGAAGAA
rnacentral:ncRNA from 1 species